rnacentral:rRNA from 1 species
CCUACGGGAGGCAGCAGUGGGGAAUAUUGCACAAUGGGGGAAACCCUGAUGCAGCGACGCCGCGUGAGUGAAGAAGUAUCUCGGUACGUAAAGCUCUAUUAGCAGGGAAGAAAAUGACGGUACCUGACUAAGAAGCCGCGGCUAAAUACGUGCCAGCAGCCGCGGGAAUACGUAGGGGGCAGGCGUUAUCCGGAUUUACUGGGGGUAAAGGGAGCGUAGACGGCAGCACAAGUCUGGAGUGAAAUCCCGGGGCUUAACCCCGGGACUGCUGUGGAAACUGUGCGGCUGGAGUGCAGGAGGGGUAAGCGGAAUGCCUAGUGUAGCGGUGAAAUGCAUAGAUAUUAGGAGGAACACCAGUGGCGAAGGCGGCUUACUGGACUGUAACUGACGUUGAGGCUCGAAAGCGUGGGGAGCAAACAGGAUUAGAUACCCCAGUAGUC